CCUACGGGCGGCAGCAGUAGGGAAUCUUCCACAAUGGGCGAAAGCCUGAUGGAGCAACGCCGCGUGGGUGAAGAAGGUCUUCGGAUCGUAAAACCAUGUUGUUAGAGAAGAAAGUGCGUGAGAGUAACUGUUCACGUUUCGACGGUAUCUAACCAGAAAGCCACGGCUAACUACGUGCCAGCAGCCGCGGUAAUACGUAGGUGGCAAGCGUUAUCCGGAUUGAUGGGGCGUAAAGGGAACGCAGGGGGUCUUUUAAGUCUGAUGUGAAAGCCUUCGGCUUAACCGGAGUAGUGCAUUGGAAACUGGGAGACUUGAGUGCAGAAGAGGAGAGUGGAACUCCAAGUGUAGCGGUGAAAUGCGUAGAUAUAUGGAAGAACACCAGUGGCGAAAGCGGCCCUCUGGGCUGUUACUGACGCUGAGGUUCGAAAGCGUGGGUAGCAAACAGGAUUAGAUACCCCUGUAGUC
rnacentral:rRNA from 1 species